ACCGCUGCUUGAAGCAGAAGCUGAAGUCAGAGGAAUACCAAAGGCAAGGGCCACUUUGCAAUGACAAAGAGAUUCAAGUGGCAACUCUCCCUCUCUUGCUGACCCUGGCUGGGCCAUGUGCCAGGAAAACACUCCUAGAUCCUCACAAUGACAACUGAGCCUGAAUAGAUGUUGAAAGCUUUCACUUAUCCUAUCAUUCUGGAUUGCAAGCUUCUGCUCUGAGUAUGGAUGGAAAGGACAGAAUGUUUUCCCAUUUGUUAAGUGAUAAGACUGGAAAUCAUACGUCACUUCAUCUCCUAAUGAGACCAGCCCCUAAGGUACCUGCUGAGGACAAACUCCUUUUCAUAAAGGACUGAAAAUUUCUUAAAGGGCAGCGGCUAAAGAAUGAUGUCUUCACAUCACAAGUGAGAAGCUUCAGCGAAAUCGUAAGAACAUGGAGUCAGUCAAAAAACAUUUUAAGAAGCUUCUGGAUCAGAUUUUUGGUUACAAGAACUAAACAGUUCCAAUUAUAUUUUCUCAUGCUGUGGAAAGGACUACCAAUGCGCAAUCCUCUCUCCUUGAGAUUUUCAACUUGGAGUUCCUGGAGUUACUUAUGAACUCUAGCUCAUAAUUGGUUUUGCCCUGCCUCAAUUUCAAAGCUGCUAUUGGGUUGGAAAAGACUGUUGUUGGAAAGGACUGUUGUCCAGGCUCCAAAAAGUCCAGACAAGGUCUCCAGAGACUCUCUAUUUUUCCUCCAGAUCCUUUUACUGACAUUAAUGAUGAAGCAGCUUUGUCUGUGUCUCUGCCUUGGUUAGCAAUGCCUUAGUGACAGGGCAGCUCCAGAUGCAUUAGAUCAGCAGCUGAUGCCAUCAUGCGAAUGUCUAACACUUACUUUAGCAGUAGAAGACUUUCUUCAUUUAAAAUCUUACAGGAAAUCCCUGUGUUCAAAAGGAAAAAAAAAAUCAGUAGGGGAUCUGGAGCCCAGCCAGCACUGUCCUCUUUCUCCCAAGAGGGGAAAACUGAUCCAAACCAAGGUCCGAACUGGAUGGACUCCUCGAGAAUCAGAACUUCAAUACCAGUGACGUAAUCGGAACCCAGGUCCCUGGCCCCCCAGUUCCGGGCUCUUUCUACUAUUCGACGCUGCCUCCUGCAAAACGUGUCCUAUUUUGAGGCACCCUUGUUUAUCACAGAUUUGUUGUACUCCCCUUUUUUUGCAGUCUUUGAAAUUUCUUUUCUCGUGUUCUCUCACUUAUUUCCCAAACGCCAUUUGUUAUGUAACAGAUGCAUAUGUGUUCCUGUUUAUAAAUAUUCUACAGUAAGUCAAGAAAAUGUGGGGAAAUAGGGGGAAAAGGCUAAUAGGACCUUCAAACCCUCUAUCUGGAAAUGUCGGGAAUCUAGGCUGUGUCUAAGGGGCAAAGGUCACAAAAGAAGAACAAACCCAGGAAGCUGAACCUGGUCUUGUAUGUUUGGAUCCCAUCUCAUUCGUUUUUCCCUUCAUUUUCAGUCUGUCCAAAAUUAGGAUGUUUGGUGUUAUGGAGGUUCACCUGGGAAAAAUCAGGAGGCCGCCGAGUGUAACUGUGGGAUGGCAUCACAGUAAGCAAGAAGCUUAAAAUCAAAUCCAUUACCAGGGAAUUGAAUCCAGGGAACAUGGCUUCAUUAAAGACUAUGACUUUAUAAAUAACUACACAUAAAUAGACCGCUUUGCCUUAGAGAAUAAUAUAUUUCAAAAUUAUUAUCUACUUAAAAUAUUUUACCUAAAAGAAUUCACAAUUAGCUUUCAAUAUUUAAACAGUACAUUAGAAAUGGAAUGAUUAUAAAUAUCAGAAACAAAAGCCACUUCAUUACAGUAUGAACAUAUGCUAACAUACCACAUACUGCUUUUGAAUUUAAUAAUAAUAUAGUUUAUCUUUUUUUAACUGACAUAAGGGUUUUGAUAAUAGCUAAUAUAAAUAUAUGAAAUGUCAAAUUUAGAAGAUAGUGUUUAAACAUUUGUCUCUUAGAGAGUAUUGUUAAACUUAACUUUUAUUAACUCUGAGAAUCAAAGAGAAAUAUGGUGAUGCUAGUGAACGUUUGAAAAUCUUUUAUUUUAUCACUUUUAAUGCAUGUUUAAUAUUUAACAUUCAUCUUAUUACAGUCAGGAAUUGUGAAAUGCUUGUGCUGUUUCUAAACAGUUUUAAAGUUCAAUGCACAGUCACAAUUCAGAGGGGAGAUUUCACACAUUUAUGGAAAAUAAGCCAUUUUUGCAGUAAAGUUGCAAAGUGUGAAAGAA